GAUGAACGCUAGCUGCGGGCCUAACACAUGCAAGUCGAGCGAACAGACGAGUGGCGUUUUCCUCGGUCGUUAGCGGCGGACGGGUGAGUAACACGUGGAUAACCAACCUGUCAGUCUGGAAUAGCUUCGGGAAACCGGAUCUAAUACCUGACAAAUUCUUGAACCGCAUGGUUCAUUAGUGAAAGACGGUUUUUCUGUCGCGUAUAGAUGGAUCCGGGCUGCUUUGGCUAGUUGGUGAGGUAACGGCUUACCAAGGCAAGGAUACGAAGCCUACCUGAGAGGGUGGUCAGCCACACCGCAACUGAGACACGACCCAGACUACUACGGGAGGCAGCAGAAGGGAAUCUACCGCAAUGGGAGAAAGCAGAACGGGACCCAGCCACGUAAGUGAUGAAAGUCCUCGGAUCGUAAAACUAUGUUAUUAGGGUAGAACGAAUGUGUAAGUAACUAGGCACGUAUUGACGGUACCUAAUCAGAAAGCAACGGCUAACUACGUG
rnacentral:rRNA from 1 species